GAUGAAGAACGUAGCGAAAUGCGAUAAGUAAUGUGAAUUGCAGAAUUCAGUGAAUCAUCGAAUCUUUGAACGCACAUUGCGCCCCCUGGUAUUCCGGGGGGCAUGCCUGUUCGAGCGUCAUUACAACCCUCAAGCUCUGCUUGGUAUUGGGCCCCGCCAGUUCUGGCGGGCCCUAAAGUCAGUGGCGGUGCCUUCCGGCUCCGAGCGUAGUAAUUCUUCUCGCUCUGGAGACCCGGUUGUGUGCUUGCCAACAACCCCCAAUUUUAUAAGGUUGACCUCGGAUCAGGUAGGGAUACCCGCUGAACUUAAGCAUAUCAAUAAGCGGAGGA
rnacentral:misc_RNA from 1 species